rnacentral:rRNA from 1 species
AUGCACCGAGCACCAGAACGGCGGCGGCGGAGCCGCCAGCGCCGGGUCGAUGACCCCAUCGGACUCGAGCCUUGGCGCAGCCGGACCGGCCAGAAGCCGGGCGGGCACAUCGGGCUGCAGAGGCGCAGAUGGCUGCACGGGCUGGUUCGACGGCCCCGCGCCGUUCCGGUGGUUGCGACGGAGGUCCUGGCGGCGCUGGUUCCAACCUCUACGCCGGAAGCGGCGAAGGUCGCGCACACGAUGCUGGAAGCGGCGGCCACGGCCAUCGACGCGAAGGAGGCGGAGAAACAGGGACAUCGGAAUUCGAGGCAUGGUUCCGUUUCUCAGCUUUUCCCUGUUCUCCUAGUCUUCUCGUCGGAAUUGCAAGCCGGAGAGCGUGCUGAUAACGUGUUAGAUCUUAAACGAGAGAGACGAGAGACAAAUGAUUGA